rnacentral:rRNA from 1 species
CCCUUAGAUGUUCUGGGCUGCACGCGCGCGACAAUGACGUUUGCAACGAGAUUGCGAGGCCGUCAGGUCGAGCUGAUCUUGCAAGCUGCGUCGUGAUAGGGACAGUCGAUUGCAAUUAUUCGACUCGAACGAGGAAUUCCUUGUAAUCGCGCAUCAUCAGUGCGCGCUGAAUACGUCCCUGCCCUUUGUACACACCGCCCGUCGCUCCUACCGAUUGAGUGCUCAGGUGAGCCAUUCGGACUUUCAUCAUGCUGGUUUCCAGUUUUGAUGAAGGAAAGUCUUGCGAACCUUAUCAUUUAGAGGAAGGAGAAGUCGUAACA